rnacentral:rRNA from 1 species
UCGAGCGGACAGAUGGGAGCUUGCUCCCUGAUGUCAGCGGCGGACGGGUGAGUAACACGUGGGUAACCUGCCUGUAAGACUGGGAUAACUCCGGGAAACCGGGGCUAAUACCGGAUGCUUGAUUGAACCGCAUGGUUCAAUUAUAAAAGGUGGCUUUUAGCUACCACUUACAGAUGGACCCGCGGCGCAUUAGCUAGUUGGUGAGGUAACGGCUCACCAAGGCAACGAUGCGUAGCCAACCUGAGAGGGUGAUCGGCCACACUGGGACUGAAACACGGCCCAAACUCCUACGGGAGGCAGCAGUAGGGAAUCUUCCGCAAUGGACGAAAGUCUGACGGAGCAACGCCCCGUGAGUGAUGAAGGUUUUCGGAUCGUAAAACUCUGUUGUUAGGGAAAAACAAGUACCGUUCGAAUAGGGCGGUACCUUGACGGUACCUAACCAAAAAGCCACGGCUAACUACGUGCCAGCAGCCGCGGUAAUACGUAGGUGGCAAGCGUUGUCCGGAAUUAUUGGGCGUAAAGCGCGCGCAGGCGGUUUCUUAAGUCUGAUGUGAAAGCCCCCGGCUCAACCGGGGAGGGUCAUUGGAACCUGGGGAACUUGAGUGCAGAAGAGGAGAGUGGAAUUCCACGUGUAGCGGUGAAAUGCGUAGAGAUGUGGAGGAACACCAGUGGCGAAGGCGACUCUCUGGUCUGUAACUGACGCUGAGGCGCGAAAGCGUGGGGAGCGAACAGGAUUAGAUACCCUGGUAGUCCACGCCGUAAACGAUGAGUGCUAAGUGUUAGAGGGUUUCCGCCCUUUAGUGCUGCAGCAAACGCAUUAAGCACUCCGCCUGGGGAGUACGGUCGCAAGACUGAAACUCAAAGGAAUUGACGGGGGCCCGCACAAGCGGUGGAGCAUGUGGUUUAAUUCGAAGCAACGCGAAGAACCUUACCAGGUCUUGACAUCCUCUGACAACCCUAGAGAUAGGGCUUCCCCUUCGGGGGCAGAGUGACAGGUGGUGCAUGGUUGUCGUCAGCUCGUGUCGUGAGAUGUUGGGUUAAGUCCCGCAACGAGCGCAACCCUUGAUCUUAGUUGCCAGCAUUCAGUUGGGCACUCUAAGGUGACUGCCGGUGACAAACCGGAGGAAGGUGGGGAUGACGUCAAAUCAUCAUGCCCC